AUGUUGGGGCCAAUGCACCGCCGGCGCCUCCCGUGCCAGGCAUGGAGGCCACCGCCUCCACCCCCUCCUCAGGCGGAGGGCCAAACAGGAGGUGCUGCGCCAACACCUCCUGGAAUGGGAGUCCCGGGCAAUGGAGGUGGAGCGGGCGGAGCACGAGCGCAUAAUGCAGCUGGAGGCCAGUUAGAGCUUGACACGGAGGCCGAGCGCCGCGAGCUCGAGGAGGAGGCGGCCCAGAGGGUGGCGACGACACAAACACGGCUCAGACGUCCCAGCAGGCGCAUGUUACACAAGGCAAGUCAACUGAGCUACUGCUCUCGUUGGAUGUCCACCGCAGGGACAAUCUCCACCGCAGCUACUGCUCUCGUUUUCUCCCCUCACAGCCGCUCCUCUCUCCCUCAGGCUCUUAGCCACUCCUCUCCAUGGCGCCUCCCCUUCCCUCGACGUCGUCCGGCCCCUCCUCUUCCCGCCACGGCGUUGACCGACCCCUCCUCUCCCCACCUCGAGCGAGCCCACGCGCCCGCCGGUAUAGCAUCCUGUGUAGCCAGAUCCGGCCGGUCGGUGCAGAAGGGUUCGCCGCUCUCCGUUCGUGCCGGAUACCCAGCUGGCCCGUCCGGAUGUGGGCGGGACGACAUCGGGCACAGCUUUGCGGCGCGGCGAGGAAGAGAAACGCCGCCCUCGUCGUUGGCUCCGGCCAUUCCAGGCCGAUUCCGGUGCGAAGGUGUGCAUACCGUUGCGCGGAGGGCGACCACACCAGCGACACGACCUUCUGCUCACCGUAUCGCUGCACAGCAUGCCUAUGGUAGAAUCAAAGUGACGAUCAUAGAUAUUGAAAUCAGUGAAGAUCUUGUUAUGCUGUCAGUUGAUGACCGGUGUGGUAUGGAGCUAGAUGAGACUGACUUGGCUGUCUGGCUUAAGUUGGAGGCUGCAACGGAAGAGUUCAUUCAGAAAAAAAUACAGGCUUUAAAGAUGUUUGUUUGUUUUGAGAAGUUUUCUAGAAUUGUCAAACCCCUGUCAUUUGCAAGUACUCAAGUGAAAAGAGAAUCUCAAGGGAGUGGACCUGCUAUUGUUAAAUCUAGUGAUGUGAUUAAAGAUGACACUGCUGCUGAACCUAGUGACACCGAAAUAGCUGAUGUGUCUAACGCUCCAGCACAAAUAUCCGAUAGUAUUUGGGCUGCAGUUAGUGUACUAAUUAGUUGGAUAUUUGAGUAG
rnacentral:rRNA from 1 species